UGUCGCUGCUGUUUUGCUGCUCUUCACACUCUGUGUGCUCGUGGCCGCAGUUCAAAUCAAAACACUACAUCGCGUAAAAUCCACGAGCGUAUAUGAAAAUAACAAAACGAGAAAUACUCAUGCAUAUAUGAAUAUAUAUCAUAAUAUAUGUACAUAGUAUACAUAUAUAUACAUUUGUAAAUACAGCGCUUUGCAACGCCACCCACCCCUCCACCAACAUUUCAUCCUGUUCAACGUCGAACUUUGGGGCACAGGCCUAGCGUGGUGUCUACUGCGUCUGCGCCUGUUUGGGUAGACGUUGUCCUUUUUUCCGCUGCCGUUACGCCACCAUUGACGCUCCCCUCUCGUGUCGUGCUCUGAAAUUGGGGUACUGGCAUUUCUUUUGAAAUCGAUACUCGGCACAUACGCUUUGGCACAAUGUUUACAGCGAGGCGGCACUCCAAUAGAUGAGCUCGGCGUGGCGCCACAAAGCCAAAAGGCUGUGCCACAAAGUGUCCUUCAAAAUCGGUAGUCAGCAGUACGGACGGGUCGAGCGUCCGAUAUACCUGUGCUGGCAUUUUAACCAAAUAGAAACGGAUAAGAACUCAACAUUAUCAACAUAAAAGUUCUUUUGCGUAUUUUUACUAACCUCUUGCUGCAUUUGAUAUGUAUGAACAACAAGGCGAUACCCAGCACCAGACAUAUGGAGCCAACAACAAUGUAUGCAAUGCCAAGGAAGGGAUUUUUGCCGCCCAGUAGAGACGUUGUUGAUAAGAUCAUUUUCUUUGAACCAUCAAAUGACGUCACAGGAUAUUCUAACCGCAAAAAUGCAAAAUAUGUAUGAAAGAAAUAUGCAGUGAAUAAAUGUUAUAUUAUUAGUACAUACGAUAAACAGUA